AAGUCGUAACAAGGUUUCCGUAGGUGAACCUGCGGAAGGAUCAUUACCAAGUUUAAUCCAAAACACUCAACCCAUGUGCACUAUGAUUUGUCUGUCUUUGGGGUGGAGGAAUCGGGGGUUUUAAUCCUCGCUGAUUUCCACCCCACAUGUGUAAACAUCCUUUUUAUUUUGUAUUGGAAUCUACUUGUCUUAAUAAAUAUUAGACAACUUUUAACGGUGGAUCUCUUGGCUCGUG
rnacentral:misc_RNA from 1 species